AACGAACGCUGGCGGCAGGCUUAACACAUGCAAGUCGAGCGCCCCGCAAGGGGAGCGGCAGACGGGUGAGUAACGCGUGGGAAUCUACCCAUCCCUACGGAAUAGCUCCGGGAAACUGGAAUUAAUACCGUAUACGCCCUACGGGGGAAAGAUUUAUCGGGGGUGGAUGAGCCCGCGUUGGAUUAGCUAGUUGGUGGGGUAAAGGCCUACCAAGGCGACGAUCCAUAGCUGGUCUGAGAGGAUGAUCAGCCACAUUGGGACUGAGACACGGCCAAAACUCCUACGGGAGGCAGCAGUGGGGAAUAUUGGACAAUGGGGGCAACCCUGAUCCAGCCAUGCCGCGUGAGUGAUGAAGGCCUUAGGGUUGUAAAGCUCUUUCACCGGGGAAGAUAAUGACGGUACCCGGAGAAGAAGCCCCGGCUAACUUCGUGCCAGCAGCCGCCGUAAAAC
rnacentral:rRNA from 1 species